GACGAACGCUGGCGGCGUGCCUAAUACAUGCAAGUCGAGCGAACGGACGAGAAGCUUGCUUCUCUGAUGUUAGCGGCGGACGGGUGAGUAACACGUGGAUAACCUACCUAUAAGACUGGGAUAACUUCGGGAAACCGGAGCUAAUACCGGAUAAUAUUUUGAACCGCAUGGUUCAAAAGUGAAAGACGGUCUUGCUGUCACUUAUAGAUGGAUCCGCGCUGCAUUAGCUAGUUGGUAAGGUAACGGCUUACCAAGGCAACGAUGCAUAGCCGACCUGAGAGGGUGAUCGGCCACACUGGAAAUGAGACACGGUCCAGACUCCUACGGGAGGAAGCAGUAGGGAAUCUUCCGCAAUGGGCGAAAGCCUGACGGAGCAACGCCGCGUGAGUGAUGAAGGUCUUCGGAUCGUAAAACUCUGUUAUUAGGGAAGAACAUAUGUGUAAGUAACUGUGCACAUCUUGACGGUACCUAAUCAGAAAGCCACGGCUAACUACGUG
rnacentral:rRNA from 1 species